AUUGAACGCUGGCGGCAGGCCUAACACAUGCAAGUCGAACGGUAACAGGAAGAAGCUUGCUUCUUUGCUGACGAGUGGCGGACGGGUGAGUAAUGUCUGGGAAACUGCCUGAUGGAGGGGGAUAACUACUGGAAACGGUAGCUAAUACCGCAUAACGUCGCAAGACCAAAGAGGGGGACCUUCGGGCCUCUUGCCAUCGGAUGUGCCCAGAUGGGAUUAGCUAGUAGGUGGGGUAACGGCUCACCAAGGCGACGAUCCCUAGCUGGUCUGAGAGGAUGACCAGCCACACUGGAACUGAGACACGGUCCAGACUCCUACGGGAGGCAGCAGUGGGGAAUAUUGCACAAUGGGCGCAAGCCUGAUGCAGCCAUGCCGCGUGUAUGAAGAAGGCCUUCGGGUUGUAAAGUACUUUCAGCGGGGAGGAAGGGAGUAAAGUUAAUACCUUUGCUCAUUGACGUUACCCGCAGAAGAAGCACCGGCUAACUCCGUG
rnacentral:rRNA from 1 species